rnacentral:rRNA from 1 species
UACGUAGGGUGCAAGCGUUAAUCGGAAUUACUGGGCGUAAAGGGUGCGUAGGCGGUUGUUUAAGUCUGUCGUGAAAUCCCCGGGCUCAACCUGGGAAUGGCGAUGAAUACUGGGCAGCUAGAGUGUGUCAGAGGAUGGUGGAAUUCCCGGUGUAGCGGUGAAAUGCGUAGAGAUCGGGAGGAACAUCAGUGGCGAAGGCGGCCAUCUGGGACAACACUGACGCUGAAGCACGAAAGCGUGGGGAGCAAACAGG